UAUUGCUUAGAUAAAUUGCCAAAAUCUCUACACAACCUAGCACCCGUUAUUAUUCAUCUCUAUUUUCAUCUACUCAUCCUCACAUUUAUUCAGGUCUUCCUACGUUCACUUUUAAUUCCUAACACACACUAGUCAUGCUCUUACAUUAAGUCUUGUCUCAGCCCCCUUCCAUCUCUCUUCCCCUUCCUUUCAUGACCUUUUUCCACAGCAUUUAUUAUCAUCUGAAACACUGUAUCUUUUACUCAUGUAUUGCAUUUCUCCUCUCAUUGAGUGCGAGCUCCAAUAUAUUUAAUUGGAUAUCAGUGCGGUUAGCAGUGGAGUACAAGGUUACAUUUCGGACACUUCCAGCAGAGGAUAGAAGAGGAGAUAGACUGUGGACUUUUAAAAAGGGUGUCAGACAACUCGAUUUGCAUGUAUUUAUCAGUGUUUCUCACCUCAAAAGCAUAAGAGAAUUAAUGCAUCCUCUCAGGAAUUCUACCAAAGAAACAAAGGAGUUUGGAAU
rnacentral:lncRNA from 1 species